rnacentral:rRNA from 1 species
GACGAACGCUGGCGGCGUGCUUAACACAUGCCAGUCGAACGGAAAGGCCCUGCUUUUGUGGGGUGCUCGAGUGGCGAACGGGUGAGUAAAACGUGAGUAACCUGCCCUUGACUUUGGGAUAACUUCAGGAAACUGGGGCUAAUACCGGAUAGGAGCUCCUGCUGCAUGGGGGGGGUUGGAAAGUUUCGGCGGUUGGGGCUGGACUCGCGGCUUAUCAGCUUGUUGGUGGGGUAGUGGUUUACCAAGGCUUUGACGGGUAGCCGGCCUGAGAGGGUGACCGGCCACAUUGGGACUGAGAUACGGCGCAGACGCCUACGGGAGGCAGCAGUGGGGAAUAUUGCACAAUGGGCGGAAGCCUGAUGCAGCAACGCCGCGUGCGGGAUGACGGCCUUCGGGUGGUAAACCGCUGUCGCAUGUGACGAAGCGUGAGUGACGGUAAUGGGUAAAGAAGCACCGGCUAACUACGUG